rnacentral:ncRNA from 2 species
UAAAUAAAGUAGGGGAGCUUGUGUUCAGGCUGAGAGGAAGUAUAAAGCUUCGACCCUUAUACCUGAUUUGGAUAAUGCCAACGUAGGAAAUUGUAUGUUUGAUUUA